rnacentral:tmRNA from 1 species
GGGGGUGCAUGGCUUCGACGGGGAUAAUGUCUUGAAAACUGCGGGUCGAGCUGGUGAACUCGUUAAACGCACCAAAACUUUAUAACUGCCAACAAAACAGCAGUUCCGGCACUCGCAUACGCGUAGUACCGCGCCGUUUUCUGAUGUCUCAUAGGAAAGUAGCGGCGUCAUAAUGAGACCCGCCUUGUUCGGUUCGUUUCGUGCUGAACCGGGUUGAAAAAACCACGAAACAAAUUUCUUUGCUCUUUUGUGUAAAAGAGACACACUCGUAGAAUGUUUUUGAGUCAGUUUCCGGACGAGGGUUCGAUUCCCUCCACCUCCACAA